AUUACAUUGCUCCCAUAAAUUCUCUAUUAAUGCAUUACGGAGUUCAAAAUGAGCAUUUUUGUCCUUAAUUUUUUAUGUCUAGCUAGAAGUUGUUUAAAUCGGAGAUUUUCAUCUACCACCAUUUAUGUCGUUGGAGUUGGAGCCUCUACGACAUCUUGAAUUGGUGCAUUAAGAUCACGUUGAUCCUCAAUUAUCAUGUUGUGCAGUAUAAUGCAUGUAGUCAUUAUAUCAUGUAGCACUUUCUUUCUCCAAAAAUGUGACGGUCCUGCAAAAAUUGCAAAACGUGAUUGUAAAACUCCGAAUGCAUGUUCAGCAUCUUUUCGGCAUGAUUC
rnacentral:lncRNA from 1 species